rnacentral:rRNA from 1 species
GAUGAACGCUGGCGGCGUGCCUAAUACAUGCAAGUCGAGCGAACAGACGAGGAGCUUGCUCCUCUGAUGUUAGCGGCGGACGGGUGAGUAACACGUGGAUAACCUACCUAUAAGACUGGGAUAACUUCGGGAAACCGGAGCUAAUACCGGAUAACAUGUUGAACCGCAUGGUUCAACAGUGAAAGACGGUCUUGCUGUCACUUAUAGAUGGAUCUGCGCCGCAUUAGCUAGUUGGUAAGGUAACGGCUUACCAAGGCAACGAUGCGUAGCCGACCUGAGAGGGUGAUCGGCCACACUGGAACUGAGACACGGUCCAGACUCCUACGGGAGGCAGCAGUAGGGAAUCUUCCGCAAUGGGCGAAAGCCUGACGGAGCAACGCCGCGUGAGUGAAGAAGGUCUUCGGAUCGUAAAACUCUGUUAUUAGGGAAGAACAAAUGUGUAAGUAACUAUGCACGUCUUGACGGUACCUAAUCAGAAAGCCACGGCUAACUACGUG